rnacentral:rRNA from 1 species
UACGGAGGGAGCUAGCGUUGUUCGGAAUUACUGGGCGUAAAGAGCGCGUAGGCGGUUAAUUAAGUUGGUAGUGAAAUCCCAGGGCUUAACCCUGGAAUUGCUUUCAAAACUGGUUAGCUAGAGGACGAUAGAGGAUGAUGGAAUUCCUAGUGUAGAGGUGAAAUUCUUAGAUAUUAGGAGGAACAUCGGAGGCGAAGGCGAUCAUCUGGGUCGUUACUGACGCUGAGGCGCGAAAGCGUGGGGAGCAAACAGG